GCGGAUGUAAUAUAGUGGUUAUUAUGCGCGGUUGUGGUCCGCGUGACGGGAGUUCGAUUCUCCCCUUCCGCC
rnacentral:tRNA from 1 species